rnacentral:misc_RNA from 1 species
GAUGAAGAACGUAGCGAAAUGCGAUAAGUAAUGUGAAUUGCAGAAUUCAGUGAAUCAUCGAAUCUUUGAACGCACAUUGCGCCCGUCAGUAUUCUGGCGGGCAUGCCUGUUCGAGCGUCAUUACGCCCCUCAAGUCCCCUGUGGACUUGGUGUUGGGGAUCGGCGAGGCUGGUUUUCCAGCACAGCCGUCCCUUAAAUUAAUUGGCGGUCUCGCCGUGGCCCUCCUCUGCGCAGUAGUAAAACACUCGCAACAGGAGCCCGGCGCGGUCCACUGCCGUAAAACCCCCCAACUUUUUAUAGUUGACCUCGAAUCAGGUAGGACUACCCGCUGAACUUAAGCAUAUCAAUAAGCCGAGGA